GACGAACGCUGGCGGCGUGCUUAACACAUGCAAGUCGAACGGAAAGGCUCCAGCUUGCUGGAGUACUCGAGUGGCGAACGGGUGAGUAACACGUGGGUAAUCUGCCCUGCACUCUGGGAUAAGCCUGGGAAACUGGGUCUAAUACUGGAUAUGACCUUUCUCCUUAUGGGGUUUGGUGGAAAGUUUUUCGGUGUAGGAUGAGCCCGCGGCCUAUCAGCUUGUUGGUGGGGUGAUGGCCUACCAAGGCGACGACGGGUAGCCGGCCUGAGAGGGUGAUCGGCCACAUUGGGACUGAGAUACGGCCCAGACUCCUACGGGAGGCAGCAGUGGGGAAUAUUGCACAAUGGGCGGAAGCCUGAUGCAGCGACGCCGCGUGAGGGAUGACGGCCUUCGGGUUGUAAACCUCCUUCAGCAGGGACGAAGCGUAAGUGACGGUACCUGCAGAAGAAGCACCGGCUAACUAUGUG
rnacentral:rRNA from 1 species